rnacentral:rRNA from 1 species
UACGGAGGAUGCAAGCGUUAUCCGGAUUUAUUGGGCGUAAAGCGUCCUCAGGUGGUUUAUCAAGUCUGCUGUUAAAGCGUGGGGCUUAACCCCAUAUAGGCAGUGGAAACUGAGAGACUAGAGUACGGUAGGGGUAGCGGGAAUUCCCAGUGUAGCGGUGAAAUGCGUAGAUAUUGGGAAGAACACCAGCGGCGAAGGCGCGCUACUGGGCCGAAACUGACACUCAUGGACGAAAGCUAGGGGAGCGAAAGGG